GUGUUGGAAAUUUGUCUGGCCGAAGAUACAAAUCCAGAAGGAUAGUGUGGGGAACAAAACACGGGCAAAUAAAUCAGCUGAGUUGUCCUGCAAAGAGCUGCAAUACCAGUUCAAGUGGAGAUACUGAAGUGGACUCAGAUGACAAAAUAAUAUUACAACACAGUCCUACAACAAGACGAAGAGUUGAAGACACCUCUCUUGCCAAAGUGGUUGCUGUCAUUGGUGAGGAUGCAUCAUCCGUUGAAGGUCAUGUGAAUGUCCUGCAUAUCCAGUACAGCAAGGUGCGAGAGGAUAUACUAAAGAAGUACCCUUUCUUGAAGACAACCUCAGGGAUGUUUGAUGAAGUUGACUGAAUGCAUCCAUCACCUGUCAGUUUAAGCCAGCGCUUCAAGGACGGCGUUUACCAGAAUUGUGCCAAAGGUGCUUGAGCUUGUUCAAAGAAAAGCUCCAUUAGCCAAAGUCUCCAAAGAAGCAAGAGAAGAGAUGCUUGCAGAGGAUCUACUAGGUAUUGACAUAAACGUAAUCCUUGGUAAUCUUUAGUGUGUUUUAUAGUUCUUCUUUUUAGAAUUCGUAUCAAUAUUAUCUUAUCACAUUUAUGCAUUUUAUUUAAAUUAUUCAUUUAAACUUGGUUAUAAGUUUACUUUUUUAUUAUCUAUUUUUAGAAAAUGUAGAAUGCAGUAGAAAGAUGUACUUAAAAUGAGGUCUAGUGCUUCUUUUGUUAAUGUCACAAGUUUUAUUUCAUGGUUUAAAAAUGGUAACUGAAGUGCUAUGUCCUGUUUACAAUUGAUCAAAUGUUAAGGUUAUAGUUACAAUGAAUGCAAUGUGAACUGAAGGAAAAAUAUAGAUUUUUCAUUAUUGUAAAAUUGCUAAUAAUUGUAAAUAUAUGCAUCCUGUUGUGACACUGUACAUACUGUGAAAAGUUGUAUUGUCAGCAUUGUAAUUGUUUUGAAUGUUUAAUAAAUGUGAUAAACAGUA